rnacentral:lncRNA from 1 species
GGACUAAAGCCUAAUGAUUCUGAAAGAGUAUAUGCACUUUUUUCUAAAGAAUUUAAAUAUAUACUGGAACUUAAUUUUCAUGGCCUUAUGGUUUUUUGUGCUAUUAAGAAUGCCUUGUGACAUCACAAUUUCCAUUGAAAAGGCAUGCAUAUCUUUUAUAAGCAUUUAUAGCUGACUAUGCAUUAUUGGAUUAACUCAUUGUUGAAGGACCUUUAGUUGUUAGUUUCUGUGUCAUUUGUUCUCUUGUGAAAAGUUGUCUCAUUAGCAAUCAUAUCACAUCUUUUUUUUUCAAUAGUAUGAAUUUAUAUGACAUACAAAAACAGCUUUAUUUGUCCAAUGCAACAUUUAUGGCAAUCUUAUUAUUUUGUUAGUUCUACUUCUAAUAUGAGGUGGAAAUUUUAUAGGUCCAGGUAUGAAUGGUUACAGAUAAUUGUAGAACAGGGCAUGCCCAAAAAGACAAAUAUCGGACUAAUCGGGCAUGCACAAGUCAUCAAGUUUUAUAAGUUCUGAGCACUAUUAGCAAAAUGCUGCAAACAUUGUAUUACAUGAUUAAUUUUAGUAAAAUCAUUGAUAUUCAAUUUCAUAAUUUUACACCUUCUUGCAUGAUUAUGCAUGGCUUUAAUUCAAGCGCACAGUUUUACAACUUCUUGCAUGAUUAUGCAUGGCUUUAGUUCAUGUGCACAGUUUUACAACUUCUUGAAUGAUUAUGCAUGGCUUUAAUUCAAGUGCACAGUUUAUCAAACUUUGGUAAAACUGCGCAUUCCAUAUUUAUAUAAGGAAUGCACAGUUUUACAAUCUAGGCUUCAUUGUUUUACAUGUACAUAUGAACUGCACAUUUGUACAAUUUCAUGGGGAAUUGUGCAUGAUAAAUAGAUCGUAUGAAAAUUGUAAAACAUUGCACGCCCAGUUCAACAAACUUUGGUGUAACUGCGAAUUCCAUAUAUAUAAACGAAUGCACAGUUUAACAACUGUUUGAUGAUUUAGGCUUCAUUGUUGCAUGAACUGCUCAUUUGUACACUUUCAUGGGGAAUUGUGCAUGAUAAAUAGAUCGUAUGAAAAUUGUAAAACAAUGCACGCCCAGUUCAACAAACUUUAGUGUAACUGCGCAUUCCAUAUAUAUAAACGAAUGCACAGUUUUACAACUGUUUGAUGAUUAAGGCUUCAUUGUUGUAUUAACUGCUCAUUUGUACAAUUUCAUGGGAAAUUGUGCAUGAUGUACAGAUCGUAUAAAAAUUGUAAAACAAUGAACGCCCAGUUAAACAAACUUUGGUAAAACUAUGCAUUCCAAAAUUAUAAACGUAUGCACAGUUUAACAAUUGUAUGAUGGGCCUGGUUGUAUUCCUUUACGUGCAUCAGCAUGCACAGUUUUACAAUUGUUUGAUGAUCUAGGCUUCAUUGUUUUACAUGCAUAUAUGAACUGCUCGUUUGUACAAUUUCCUGGGGAAUUGUGCAUAAUGUACAGAUCAUAUGAAAAUUGUAAAACAAUGCAUGCCCAGUUCAACAGACAAUUGUACAACUGGGCAUGCUCAGUUCUACAAAAUCAUGUGACAAAACAUACAUCAUAGGUCUGGUAUAACAUAAACAGUACCAAUUUUACUACAUCAGAAUGAUCAGAUGGUUAUUUUGACAAUAAAUAUCUCUUCUGUAAUGGUCGAGGAAGAAAUGUUUAAAAAUCACAACCUUGUACGAACUUUAAAAACUUAUGAACUAUUAUAAAUGGACCAAAUGUAAAAGCUAAUCCAAACAAAAAGGAACACUAGAGCUAUGCAUGAG